rnacentral:rRNA from 1 species
GUUCUAGGUAAUUAAUCCGGGAAUGUGUCGUGAAACUCGGGGGAGCCAAAACAGUAUUAUAUUCCCUUGGUAGUCCACACCGUUAAACAAUUCAUAUUAGGUGUCGGGGAUUCAAUUCCUUGGUGAUGAAUCUUACACAGUAAGUAUGCCGCUUGGGGAGUACGCUAGCAAGAGUGAAACUCAAGUGAAUUGAUCGGGGACCCGCACAAGCAGUGGAGUAUGUGGUUUAAUUCGAAGCAACGCGAAGAACCUUACCAGGUCUUGACAUAUGGGUGUAAGCACUAGAGAUAGUGCCCCUAUUCGGAGCACCCAAGACAGGUGGUGCAUGGUUGUCGUCAGCUCGUGUCGUGAGAUGUUGGGUUAAGUCCCGCAACGAGCGCAACCCUUGAUCUUAGUUGCCAGCAUGUAAUGGUGGGCACUCUAAGAUGACUGCCGGUGACAAACCGGAGGAAGGUGGGGAUGACGUCAAAUCAUCAUGCCCCUUAUGACCUGGGCUACACACGUACUACAAUGGUCGGUACAACGGGAAGCGAAGCCGCGAGGUGGAGCCAAUCCUUAUAAGCCGAUCUCAGUUCGGAUUGCAGGCUGCAACUCGCCUGCAUGAAGUCGGAAUUGCUAGUAAUCGCGGAUCAGCAUGCCGCGGUGAAUACGUUCCCGGGUCUUGUACACACCGCCCGUCACACCACGAGAGUUUACAACACCCGAAGUCGGUGGGGUAACCCGCAAGGGAGCCAGCCGCCGAAGGUGGGGUAGAUGAUUGGGGUGAAGUCGUAACAAGGUAGCCGUAAAUC